rnacentral:lncRNA from 1 species
AACAUCACUCUGCUUUUGAAUUGAGUUCCACAGAUCCACGCUACAAACAGAUUUGUCCAUUAGUAACGAGUUCAUACUCUGAAAAUCAACAGAUUUGGCUAUAUUUCUUAUGAGUGACAGCUUGAGAUUGGAGACUCUCGUUAUAUAUAUAUAUAUAUAGGUUAAGUUGUUAGCCUAUUCUUUGAAGGUUUCUGUUCCUUCCGACUUUCUGAUUAUAAUAGGAGACCUUUUCCUUUUCUCGCCAAGGAAAAGUAAUACUACUACUAUACAAC